UUGCAGUAGAUUAAAAAAAAGUAAAAUGAAUAAUUGAUGUUAGAGUUCAGAAAUUCAAAUCAUAUGUCUUGCGUGAGGACAUUUUUCUAUCAUAGUAUCUUUCUGUGCUCCUCCACAGACCUUGUUAUAAUUUAUAACAUGAUAAAUAGCUUUGAAUAGGAGAGAAGGGGAAAUUGGCUUCUUUUAUUUUUAAAGGCAUAACCGGAAACAGUAUUAGUAAUUUGGUCUGACUUGAAAAAAGAAAGAAUCUUUGCAUUGGAGACCCCUGAGUGAUCCCUCAGCUUUAUUCCCUCCAGGACCAGAGGAAGAGGAGGAGAAGGGGGAGAAAGAGAAGAGAAGAAAAGAAAAGAGGAGAAGAAGAAGAAAAGAGGAGUAAGAGAAUAAAAGAAAAGAGGAGGAAGAGGAGGAGUGGGACUCAUGGCUAAUAGGAUUAGAGGAGCCUGAGCCAUCUGUGGCUCUGAUAAACCCAUCAGCUCCAGUAACAAACUCACCCACUACACCAGCAACAAUAACAACAUGUCAGCAACAGGUUUCUUCUAAACUCCUCAUCUUAUUAAUCCAUAAUAUUUAAUUAAAUAUCAAAUAUAUUGUUGAUUUAAUGUUUAAUUUAGUGAAAAGACACAAACUCAAUCUGAGCAAAUUUUUUCACAAGAUUUCAAAAUAAGAGUCUGAAAUUUGGUGUCAACCUUCCAUCAUCCGCCCACGUCCUGCGUGUGUGCAUCUGACGUCAUCACGUUAACACUGGCGUCCGUCUCCCAUGGCAACCACUGAGGCGCCCUCGUCAAACAUGACAGAUGGAUUUUCUUCCAGACAGUGAGAUAACACAGAUCACCAGACUGCAGAGAGAUGCUGGCGUGCAGAGGCUCAGCUGUCACUUCUCCUGGCCUGAGUUCUGUGAUGAACGCCGGCGCUUCCAUCAGGAGUUUGUGUUCGACGUCGCCGUGUUCGCCGCCGCCCGCGGCUUCCCCUGGCCUGAUGUGGUCCAGACAGCUGUGAUCGCCAAAACCAUCUUCCCACAGCUGGAUGGUCUGGACGCACCCAAACUUUUGUCCUUGCUGAGAGGUGUGAUGUCAGAGCGUUUACCGAACCUCGCCCCUGUGCACCGACACCAGUUCACCCACUUCCUCGCAGACGCCUGCCUCACUCGGCGCAGGCUUUUCCAGGCGGUGGUGAGUGGAGCAGCCGACGUGUCCGUCGCUCAGCUUCGUCUGGAGGUGCAGCUGCCGCCCACACCUCAACCUCUGGCUCAGGGCACAGAGCUGCAUGAGUGGGAGCGUCAGCGCCAGCAGACCCAGCUCAGCUCCACCCUGCGACAGAAGGAGGAGCAGCUGAGGAGCCUCCGACAUGGGCCAAGGGUCACUCUGGGGGACAUUCCUGAGGACGCGCACCUGGACAAAGAGGGCGUCUCCCAGGUGGUUCGAGCAGCCGUCAGAGCCACUGAGGGUCAGAUGCUGCAGAGUCUGAACCUGGAGGUCUCACUGCUCAGUGACAUCCUGCAGCUCAGACUGCAGCUCGCAGCCCUGGCCACCGGGGGGCUCCACAACCCUGCGCCCACCAGAACCGGUCCAGCUGCUGCAGCGAAGGGAAAAAUACAAAUAGAAAAAACUUUAGCAGGAGGGAAGUGACGUUUCAGUGACUUAAGUUUUAUUUCUUCUUUGCAUCUCUAAUCUACUUUUGAGUGUGUAGAGCAGCUAAUUCUUUAUUUAUGAGCUCCUGUGCUGUUUAGUGGUGAAACAAGGUUAUUAAUGGUUGUUAAACAUUAUUAUUAUGUUCAGAACCUGGUAAAUGAUCACAAGAGGAUUUGUGAGUGAAAAUAAAAGGAUUUAUUCAAACAAUCCUGUUGAUUUGACAGGAAAUGCUGUGAAGAAAAACUCUACAAAUAACAUCAACAUAAAGAACAUAACAAAACAUAAAACAAUAACAUUCUACACAUUUCUUUAACAGAGCAAAGUUAUUCAAACACAACUCAUAAACGUAUAUUUUUACUGUUAUUUAUUUGAAUGACCUCAUUCUUUUUGCACACCCUCUUCCUGUUAGAAUAAAACACAAAGAUUUAGUAAUUUUUAUUUAUCACAUUUCACCUUUUCUUUCCCAUCAUAUAUUGUUUCCUGCAAUAAGUGAAACAGCGCCCCCCUGUAGCGCCUCUGGAACGCACGGCUCCAGCCUGUGUGGCCAAAACUCGGCAUUACACCCUCAGCUGCGUUGACUUGAGAGGAGACAGGUGAAGUUCAUUGAAAAAAAAAAAAGACGAUGACGCGUUAAUGAAGAUGUGGAAAAACAUGGCCGAACACUUCUCUGCUGAGGAAACUCACGUGACUCACAAUUAAACGUUUUAACGACAUUAAUUUAACGUCAUGUUUUGAAUUAGUCGUCAGAAGAUGGAGAGAUUUGGUUGAUGCGAAUGAAAUGAAGCUAACAAAGAUGGAGACGGACGUGAACACAGCAACACGUGCAGCGACUUUAAUAACAACACAUGGAAACUUCCUUAACCUGGAGGGGGACGUGGAUCCAGAUUCGUGGACUUUAAACCUUUAGAAGCGGAUCAGUUUUAUGGAAUCCAGCGAGGAACAAAGGACAAAGGAGGGGCCGCCAGGGAGAGAUCCGAGGUAUCUGCGAAGACCGAGAGACGGACACGAGGAACAAAAACAGAGGAACGGGAGAAAGGGGGGAGAGAGGAGAGGCUUCUACCCAUCACUCUCUGGUCGGCAGCCAAGUGCAUGGAUGAGUCUGAAGGGAACACACGGUCUGUACACCUGUUCCAACCAGCUGGCCGUCACUACCUGUCCCAGAGGCGGCUUCGCCCUCACACACACCCACACACUCACCCCACAAAGGGGGGAAGACGUGGGUGCAUCCGAGAGUGUGAAUGGUGGAAGUAAGGCAGGGCGAUGGUGCCGAAGUGCUCUUGAGCAACAAAGAGACACUGUCCCCUUCUGGUAAACACAAAUGGUUUCAUUGUUUACAUUUGAUCCAGUUAGCUUUUGUUGUUGUAUUUCCUCUCGUCAUCUCAUACGUGGGCUUUUUUUAGCUAAUUGGUUUGUAGACGGCCAAUAAAUUGGUUUUGAUCCAUAUUACGCUGCAAUUUUCAAACACUACUCAGUUUCCACUUCUAAGAAAAGCCUCAGAAUCAAGUGUGUGUUCAUAUCAGUCACUGAGUUGUGUUUGCAUGUACAUUGGAGGCUGGAGGAGCCUGAGUUGACCUCCUACCUAAAACUAGGCCCUGAGAGACGGGGAUGGGAUCAACUUCUCGUUCCGGAAACAUUACGUACAUUUCCGAGUGGAAAAUGGAAAGAAAAAUACGGCAAAAUAGUUUUGACUGCUUGGCUGAGGUGGAAAUGUUGUUGCAUGGACGGAAGCAGAAGUGACUCGGUGAAUAUAUCAUGACGCGUGUGACUUACACGUCUGCUGAAGCGUCGGCUGAGGGAAAGCGGCGACUGUAACUUCCCUCAAAUUAACACGUGAUGACUCAGACACUUUUUUCACCUCGUUGUUUUUCACCAUUUCAGAUUUGACUGAAGCUGUUUGCACAACAGCAAUGGACAGAAAAUGCACAAUGAUUUCCCUUUUUUUCCAUGCAAACCCAACUACUGGUGUGUUGGUUCUUGUUUUACAGCAGAGGAGAACGUGCUGUGCUUGGCUGGGCUGACGUGCUCAGGGCCGACAGACAAUAGAGAAAAUAAAUAUUGCGACCCAGUGGAUUUUAAAUCAGUAAACGAGGAGAAGCUAACCAGGAGGAAAAAAAAAAAGAAGGAAAUUUCCAAAUGAAUGAAUGAACAGAUGACCC